GGCUUUUUCAUUUCCCUUGUAUUUGUUUCUUCCUUUACAAUUCAUCUUUGGUCUCUCUAUCACAAUGUGCUGUUUGGUUGGUGAGAAUUUUGAGUCUCUCUUUUCAGGAGGUUAUAAAAAUUCAUGCAGUUGGAUCUAGUUUGUAGAUACAAGUUGAUUUUAUGAUAAUUUUGGUUUUUGAAUCUUUCUUGUUAGAACAUUAUAAAUUUGUUGCGCUUAUGUGACAAUUUUUAACUGCUUGUUAGAGCUUAUAAAUUGCUUUAUAGUUUUUUAGCCAAUACUAGGUAUUGUUUAAUCUAUACCAUGGUGUUGCAUUGGUGCUUAAUAUAUGUUGAUGCAAAGAAAUGAAGGUUAGGACUUGAGACAGUAUUCGUACCUUACAACGACGUACUUUAAUAGUGGGACUGACAUUGGGCAAUUGCAUUAUGCUUAUAAGGAGAGAAGAAAUUUUUCUUUGCAGUCUUUUUUGAGAUGCUAGAUGAACUUUUGACAAUCUAAAGAAAUACUGUAAUUUCAAUCGCUGAAAAAGAAACACGCAUACACUAUAUAAGUUCCUAAUCUAUCAGUCAAUAUUUCAUGGCAUAUCUUGAAAUAAUUAUUUUAACUCAUGAAACAAUAAAUUUCGAAGUUAAUGUUCUGUUUUUAUGAUAAUGUUUUGUUUUUUGUGACAGAAAUCCACCAACAAAAUUGCUGGUGGUUUUAGAGAAAUUCACAACAUACUCCUUUUGAUAAGUUCAAGAUUGUAAAGCUUCCCUAGAUAAUCCCUAUCACAUGUUUGAAUAUCUCAACUCUAAAGGAGGCCUAAGCAUAGCAUAAAUGGAGAGAGUUGAACUAAUUAACAUGUGAACACCUUGAUUUCCAUUAAGCCAAAUUCCUUAUGUCUUCUUUGCAUUGAAUCAUAAACAAAAUAAUGCAUUCAUUUUGCAAUAAUGCAUUUCCUUUCAAUGUAUAUGCAUCAUGUUAGUUGAUUUAUAUGUAAAUUUGUUAAUUUUGAAGUUGGUGAUUUUAAAUAUUUGAUGUGUUUAAGUUCGUUAUAAUGUCACUAUGUCAAGUUUACAUGCUCAGGGAGAGGAAUAAGUGCUAUGGUACGAUCAAGUUUGUUGAUAUAAGUUCUGAUGAUUACUCUCUGGAGGAGAAUCAAACCCUAGACUACAAAACUGUUAUGGGAAGGAUUCACUUCAUCCUCUGAUAGAACUGUUGUCACUGAUGUUGAAGUUCGCCUCAUUUCCUACCCUUUUUUCCCCUGUAAUUGUACAUUAACUGUGCUAGCACUUCUCAUUUUGUGUUUUACUUUACUGUCCAAACUUCCACUAAGUCUGAGUUCACUAUCUUGUAUUAAUCAAGUCUAAUUUCUUUGUGUUGAGGGGAUUAUCAAGUCUAAUUUCCAUCACGUGUGCAUGUCACUUAUGCUAUGUGAAUAUGUACUAAUUUGUGUUUCGGUGGUCCAGCCCAUGGAAGUUAUAGGAAAAAUGGGGGAAAGAAAAUCCCACCAAUAGAAUUGUGGCUAUUCCAUGACUAGAAUCAAUUAGUACAAGUUCAAGUUUGUAAACCUUGAACUUUAAUGUGUUCUAGACAAUCACUAAUUGUUCGAAUAUCUAAACUCUCAAUGAGGCCUAAGUGCAGCAUAAGGAUGUGGAACUACGAAGUGCCAAUGAUCACCACCAUGAUUCUAUCAUUCUAUUAAUGCUUGCAUAGGAAGCUUACUAAGGUCCUCUUAUAGGCACAUGGGGAAUGAUAUUUCUCACUAAGCCAAUUUCCUUAUCUGUCGCCUUUCCAAUGAUUAAACAGCUUUGUCAAUAGUAAAUACAAUGGUGUGGGACACAUUUGGGAUUCUUUAGAUGUAGAAUCUGUUUGAAGAAGCUGGCUAAAGAACUUUGAUAAGACUUUACUUUCAGCUGUAUUAUUUGAGAUUCAUUUUAACCAAGAAAAAAGAAUUUAAAUGACAACUUUUGCAGGCAGUUAGAAGACUAUAUGAACAAGUUGGUCUUGGAUGGGUUUAUGCCAUUACCAAAUAUGAACCUGAAAGUUUCUUUGUUCUUUCUAAUUUUACCUGUAGUUCAAUCAAAAUGCUACUAUCUUGCAGACGAAUAGGGUUUUGGAUAAUGCUCCACUGUCAUUUUCUCAUUAUUUGUACUUAAUAUAACAAUAUGCAUUUAACAGAUUGCAACAAUAACAGAUGUCAUAUAUGGUGUUUGGGCUAAAUACCAUCUUCAAUCACAGGUCGGCAACCUUUAGAAGAGAUUUUGGAAUCACAAAAGAACAAGGAUGAAGAAUGUAAUGACAAAAAUUUAUGUCAGAUGUGAACUUGCUCAAUAAUUGCCAGAAGUCCAAGCUUUCCAGGCUCGCUCUUCAUUUGCUUACAUAUAUGAUCUUCAAAACUGAGCUGGAUUUGAGCUCAUAGCUAGAACUUGUAACAAGAUGAAGAGGUAUGGCAAUUCACAUACAUUUUUCAAUUAAUUUUAAUCAUCUAAUAGUCUAGCGAGUUGAUGCUCUUAUAAUGCAUAAUGAUGUGAUAAUUCACUUUUGUUGGAUGGGAAAAUGGAGAUAACCAAGAAAGCUCACUUUAGAAUUAGUAUAUCAAAGCUUUUGCUUAUAAUUCCAAGCCAAUUUCCACUUUGAAGUCCAAUGGUUGAUAAGGAUUGAAGAGAUGAGUCUAGAGAUUGCUAGACGUUCGUGGGAAUUAGUUUCUCUUUGUAUAUAAGGUUUGACAAUCUGAUUGAUUCUCAAACUUCAUAAGAGUUUCUCAAAGAGGUAUGUCUUAAUUUUAGUUCUUUCUCAAUUUUGCUUUGAUAAAAAUUAGCACCAAAGUUUGACUUCAUAUAACCACUAUAAAUUGUAUUCUUUUUCUGGAUGAAUAACUCUUUUACGAUUCUUCUUUCUUAAUUACUUUUCUUUGGUCCUAUAGUCCUGAAGGUUUUUUCAGAUACCUCAUGUAACUGCUAGCCUCAUGUAACUACUAAUACUGUAUCUCAAUAUCUCCAAAGAACAUUAUGCUCGACUUUUUUCUUUUUGGAAUUAUGGUUGGACAUUGGUCCUAGGCCUUUAAUCCUACAUUAUGUAGUUACUUCACAAUUAUACCACAUUAUUUUAUUUAUUCUUCCUCUUGAUAUAAGAAAAUGAUGUUCCAACUUUUUGCCAAACUAAAACCCCGCAGACCAAUGGUGUGGUGGAUCGAAUGUGGGACUUCCAGGUUUACGUCACACCCCAAACUAAUGAGUCCACCACCCGGGUACCCAAUGGGGGUUAUACUAUAGUCUUUCAUAUCAUAAGAUAUUAGUAGAACAUUUAAGUUUUAGAGUCUCUUUGAAGAUAAUGAUAAAUGUGCGACUAUAUGGAGAAACUCUGUUGGUUCUAGAAAGUCACCUAAAUAAAAUGCCUAGGUAAACAUGUUUAUUUUCUUUCUGAUAAUUCGAUAAUUAGGGGAGUAUUGAACUAUGGAUGCCUCCGUUGAAAAUAUCAAGAGGUGCCAAUUGAGUUACAAGGCUCUUGAAAGUUUUUUAUAACAUAAACAUUUUCGUUCCUUUUGUCUUUUGCUACUUUAUUGUUUGUGAGAAAGGAAUUUUAAAGGAUGCUACACACGUAAAAGUGUAAAACCAAUUGCUAUCAGAAGAAGAUUAUAGAGGGAGAUUUUGUUAAAGCUUAAAAAAGGCUAUGAUUCCAAAUCCUAGAAAUGUCUAAAAUGUUCAUUAUUAUUUCUAGUCAUCUUCCCAGUGGUGUACUAGUGUUAUUGUAGCACUUAAACAGAUGUACAGGAUAUUUGUUUGCUUUCCAAACGAAAUAUACAAGCUAAUUAUUUUGGAAGUGAGUGCGACUGAUUGAGUUCAAUUCUCACAACACAAACAACAUGAUAUACUAAGCCAUAUGUGGAAAGUCAAUAUUGAGAGAGAUUAUAAAAAGACUGGAGAACUUUGCCCGUAAUUUUGCAGACUCAAUAGCUCAAAUCUAAGAGAUAUUUGUUGUUUAGGAAACAACCAUUCUCACAUUUGACAAAUUAUUAGGGUUAGUUUGCACUUCCCUAUAAAUAUGGUGUGGUUGUAGUAAGGUCUGUCUAUUUCAAAUAAUAAUGUCCUCCUUUAACUAGUAAUAAGCACUUUGUCCCAAGCCAUUAGGAUUUUCUUCAAAUUAAUAGAAACUUCAAAUUCCUAUUAGACAUUUUUCUCAAGAAAUUUUGGGAGGGAAGGAAGAACAGAAACAAUGGCCAACAAAGGAAUUUUUUGGCACACAUCUCACUGUUGCAGUGAUACAGAGCAUGCAAAGAUUAAAAGGGGCAGCUCCACCUAGGGGUCAAUGUCUUGAUGUAAUUCUUUCACCUUGGUGUUUUCUACCUAGGAUAAAUAUCUUAUUCAUCGAAAAGGAAAGAUCUACAAAAUGAAGAAUUCUACAGCAUUCCAUUUGGAAAUCUCCAAAAUACUAGAAAAGGAGCAAAUUAUUGGACUCAAAAAGCUCGACCAGACUGGUGGUUGAUUCGAGAGAAAUACCAAGAAUCUUCAUAUGUUGGUUGUGAACACAGGAAGACUGGAUAAUAAAAUCUGAAGGCUCAAAUGGCAGAUGAUCAAUGGAUCGACUCAGUACAAGGCAGAACAAGGAAUAUUGGAUCAUUUUAGUGGAAUCUAUAUCAAUGCUCUAUAGAACUUAUUUGAGUCAACUUCAAGCAAUAGACAUGCAAUGCCUAGGCACUAAUCAAUAGCAGAAAUACCGUAUGCCCUCUCAAAUGGAUUCGAAACAUUGUUUUUUUUCAGAAAAACUGUAGAAUCGGGACAAAAUAUGGUAAGGGUAUGCAAUCACAUGCAAUGCAAUGCUGGUGUUAGCUGAAAAAGCAUCCAAAAUUGGCAAGCUGCAAGUGUUAUAGUGGAAAGUCAUUUUGAUGCGAGAAAGAGCAGGAUCCAGAAGAAACAAAUGGAGGGCAACAGCUUAUGUGUGCAAAGACAGAUGAAGGUAUUUAAGUAUUGCCAGAUUGCCACUAUAGGGAAUGCACACAAAAGGACACUGCAAUCAGUUUGACUCUUACACCAGCUGACUCUACUACCAAGGAAAGUAAUCACAAGCAUAUCAUUAUCUUAUCAAGGAACUACAAGGUGUGCAAACAUGAGUUAGAAGAGUCCAUUCCCAGAUCUUGAGAGAAUCAAUCUGGCUAAAGUGGCACAAUGACUGUAUAUGCAUGUUUUUUGGUCUAAGCUUUGGAAAUUGUUUUGUCACUUUGUAGUAUUGUCAUAUGGCUGCUGUAGUUGGGGCAAACAUGGUGUCAUAAUAUCCUGGCUUUUGUCU